UACGUAGGGUGCAAGCGUUAAUCGGAAUUACUGGGCGUAAAGCGUGCGCAGACGGUUGCGUAAGUCAGAUGUGAAAGCCCCGGGCUCAACCUGGGAAUUGCAUUUGAGACUGCGUAGCUAGGGUGCGGAAGAGGGAAGCGGAAUUUCCGGGUGUAGCGGUGAAAUGCGUAGAUAUCGGAAGGAACACCAGUGGCGAAAGCGGCUCCUGGUCCAGCACCGACGUUCAGGCACGAAAGCGUGGGGAGCAAACAGG
rnacentral:rRNA from 1 species